UACUCUUUACACUCGGCAAUCCCCCCCGCACGGCGCACGAACUCCUUGUCUGCCUGGUGUGAGGCAGCCAGAGCAGAGGAGCCUCACACCAGGCAGACGGGGAGUCCGGGCGGCGUGCGCGCGAUGGUGGGGCGGUUGUAUCGCAGUGGCGGCUCCUAUCUCCCCUCUGUAUCUGGCCGGACUGCGUUACCGGGGGAUGGGAGGGCGGGGAGCUAAUCAGCGGCCGCACAUGUAGAUGUAGAAUUAUGAAAAACGACACACUUAAAUAGCAGGGAGAGGUCGCGCCCGGUAUCGAGAGCUACAGGCAUCUUCCGGAUCAUGUGAUCUCCUACAUGAAUAGUGAUUACCGACUGAAGACGCCGUCUGCAGAGGAAGGACAUUUCUUCAGAUGUUCCCCGUUAUGAGAAGCCACCAUAUAGAGUUGGAUGUUCUGGUGACUGAGAACACUUGUCCACUUCCACGAGUUGGAUGUUCUGGUGACUGAGAACACUUGUCCACUUCCACGAUAUUGUACUUCUAAGAAGAGAACAAUCUUCAUUAGACUGUGUGUAUCUGUCUGAGCUAUGGCUUUAUAAUGGCCAGGGAUCGUUUGAGAGGAAACCAGCAAAACAAGGGCCACUGUAUACAGAAGUGACGUACCACAGUGAGAAUUCUUAGGAUUACCCAAGUGUAUGUUUCCAUUCUUUAUACCCAUCUGGAAUUCAGAUGAGAGACGCAGUCUCUAAAAAGGACGUAACGAAGUAAAGGAGAGAAGAAAAAAAGUGGGGAUAGAAAAAAGAAAAGAAACAGAAAAAAGGAAGAAGAGAGAAAGAAGGAAAGAAAGAAAGAAAGAAAGAAAGAAAGAAAGAAAAGAUCGCCUGAUACCAGCUGCUGUCUCAUAUUACCUGAAUAUGCUGCAUAAGAGAGACUGGUGAUAAAGCAGGCUUGUCCAGCUAUAAACCUGGAGGGCUGGAGGCAGGCUAGGAUUUCAUGGUGCAAGCAAGAUCCACUGAAUCGAAAAGUCAGAACGCUACACGUAAAUCAACUUAAGAUCUAAUCAUGUUUUCUUGCUUGAUCACUGACGUGUGUAUGUACAAAGCACCUGGCAGCUGUUUGAAAACAAUUCUGAAUGUCAAAUGAUUGCAAAAUUGGGUAAAUACCAGUAACUUUGUUAAAUACCAGUAACUUUUCUUAUAUUGUAACUUCUGUGGACAUUAGAAAUAUUUCUCAGUAUUCAACAAGAAGAUACAAAAGUUAUACAUGAUAAGGGUCUUACCUUGUAUUAGACAGUAUUUCCAACCAUCUGACUGCUCUAUACAUUGUCUAUAAUUAUGCUGACGGGUACAUUUUCUAAACCUUCUAAAACAGAAAUUGGUGAUGUUGCACAUAGCAACCAAUCAGUUGCCGCCUAUCAUUUCUCUAUUGCCUUUUUGAAAAUGAUAGACAGCAUCUGAUUGGUUGCUAUGGACAACAUCAACAAUUCUUUGUUUUAGAAGCUUUAGUAAAUAUAUCCCUUAGUCUGCGACAUGCGACAUUGAUUCUGGGGGUCAUUCCGAGUUGAUCGCUCGCUAUCUACUUUUUACAGCCGUGCAAACGCAUAGUCGCCACCCACUGGGGAGUGUAUAUUUGCUGUGCAAGUGUGCGAUCACAUGUGCAGCCGAGCAGUAUAAAAAUAGUUUGUGCAGUUUCUGAGUAGCUCAGAACUUACUUAGCUGCUACAAUCACUUCAGCCUGUCCGGUCCCAGAAUUGACGUCAGACACCCGCCCUGCAAACGCUUGGACAGAUGCAAAAAUUAAUAGAGGCGCUCAUGAAAAAACCACACACCAGAUUUGCACAGGUUCAAUAACAACCAAGGAAUCAAAUAUAUUAAUAAAUAGUAUAUAUAUUUAUUAAUGACAGUACUCUAAUAUGAAUAAAAAUACUAAUAUAUAAUAAAUAAUUCAUAAGUACUAUUCCUUAUGACCACUUCAUUUGUCAAAUACAGAAGUUUAAAAAACACAUGGAUAGUCUAAGCUUUGAUUGUUAUACUUAGUAUCAUUGAGAUUUCACUGAACUAGAUAAUAUGUAACAGAGUGUUGCAGUCCUUUUAGAGACGCUGUUGCCACAGCUGCUAGAUGUAAUUCCUGAGCAUAUCACUGGAGCUGCACAAAAUGAGAAUUGCCAGCAUGAAGUAUUUGUAUAUAUGUAUAUAAGAUUACCUCUCCAAAGGGGCUGGUGAACCCGAGCGUCCCCAGGUAAGUCCAAGAAUUUGCCCAAUGGAUGGAAAAACUGGAGGGUACGUAUGCAGUGGCAAACGCAGGAUUUGCAUGGGGGGGUUUCCAGAACUGGGCGGAGCCAAUCACGGGGGUGGGGACUGAGGUGACCCAGUAUAUGCUGGGUCCGUAAAAC